GUACACGCUGUGACUAGCAUAUCAAUAAGCGGAGGAAAAGAAACUAACAAGGAUUCCCCUAGUAACGGCGAGUGAAGCGGGAAGAGCUCAAAUUUGAAAUCUUAAAGGGUUUCCCUUUACGAAUUGUAGUUUAAAGAAGUGUUUUCUGUUGAGGUUUUGGUAAAAGUUCUUUGGAAUAGGACAUCAUAGAGGGUGAGAAUCCCGUAUUUGACCUUUACUUUCAACUUUGUGAUACACUUUCAAAGAGUCGGAUUGUUUGGGAAUGCAGUCCAAAUGGGUGGUAAAUUUCAUCUAAAGCUAAAUAUUGGCGAGAGACCGAUAGCGAACAAGUACCGUGAGGGAAAGAUGAAAAGAACUUUGAAAAGAGAGUUAAACAGUACGUGAAAUUGUCAAAAGGGAAGCGUUUGACACCAGUGUUGUUUUUCUGAAAAUCAAUUAAAGAACUGUUUAUGCUAAGCUGUUUAGACUUUAUCAGCUAAUCUGUUUAGUUUUGAGCUUUUCUUUAAUGCACUUUUCAGUUAACAAGUCAACAUCAAUUUCUUUUGCUGUAAAAAAGCUUGAGGAAGGUGGCUUGAGAUUCGUCUUAAGUGUUUAUAGCCUCUUGCCUAUGCAGUCGGAGAGAUUGAGGUCUGCAGCGUAGAUCCUUCGGGGCUAAAUGCAUUUGUGCUAAGUUAUAGCAUUUUAUAGACAACUUGUUGACUAUGAUUUGUCUUGUAGCUUACUCGCUUAUGUUAUUUUACCUACGCUUAGGAUGUUGAUAUGCAUGACUGAUAU
rnacentral:rRNA from 1 species